rnacentral:rRNA from 1 species
GCUUACGGCCAUACCACCCUGAGAACGCCCGAUCUCGGAAGCUAAGCAGGGUCGGGCCUGGUUAGUACUUGGAUGGGAGACCGCCUGGGAAUACCAGGAGCUGUAAGCU